GACGGCAGUCAGGCACUGACUGUUGAGCUUGACAGAACUGCUGCGGUUUGAGAAGCCCCCACAAACAAAUGCUGCAUUGGCUAGACACGUCAUCAGAAUGCGUAACAAUGGCAACUGACCCCUUUGUAUUCUUGGGAAAAACACCCCAGGCAAAAGGUACAGUCAGUAACGGAAGUGACCAAUGCCAUUCAGUCCAAACAGUCAUAGCUAGCUGUUUUCAAUUGGGAACUUUCCCACAUGCAUGCUAUAAAGAAGGAAGCAUGACUGACACUAGAUGGUCCCAGCUAUUCAUCACUGUGCCCCAAAAGAGAGAAGCAAAACAUUAAGAAGGCAGAAACCCCCCAGGAUUCUAUUCGGAGAGCACAAGCAUUCUCUGAUGGCAGCCCAGUCCAGUCUUGGCAAUAACGUGCAUUAGCUAAAUUUUUGCAAUACUUUACAAUGGGGAUAAUGCCUCCCCACCUUUUUCCAACAGCAGAACGCAAGCAUUCUAGGUUCUGGAACUGAUGGGGGCCUUAACCAUAUUCGUCUGUUCUUAGUGUCAACAGUGGGAUUCUUUAGAAAAGAAGCAAUGCAUCUGUAAUCUAGAGCACACCUCUACCUGAAUAGAAACAUUUUGAACGCAGCUCAGGUUGAGAGCCCUUUAAAUUAUCAAGCGACUGAACAGACUGGACAUCUCAUUGAAAAGAGGCGGAAUCGGUGUAAUUUCCAAAUGAGUGAGUAGUCUCUUUGGAUGGGGCUUGUCAUCCUCUGAACCCUUUCCUGAUGUACGUACCGGAGGCCCAGGGAGUCCUCGUGGGCCUGGUGGACCCUAAAGAGAAAAGCAUCAGUGAGUAAAAUGUCAGCAGUGAAAUUAUUCAUCCUUGUAUCCCAGAAAAAGCUCAGGGUUUGGCCCACAGACUGUCCUGAGAAAAAUCAGACAACGGGAACAAGGAAGUUCUACAAUAAAGUUCAAAGAACUCACCAUGAGACCUGGUGGUCCCCGUGGGCCCUGAAUUCCUUUGAACCCCAGGUUCCCUGGUGGUCCCUGUAGAUAAAAAUCAGACAUGAAUCUUGAAAGACUCAACAGAUGCACACACAAAGUUUGUUUCUUUGCUUGCUGCUCUGGAAUAAAGACAGAUAUGCAACCAGUUGUAUGCAAGUCCUGAUUUUUUUAACCUGUGGGCC